rnacentral:rRNA from 1 species
UACGUAGGGUGCGAGCGUUAAUCGGAAUUACUGGGCGUAAAGCGUGCGCAGGCGGUUUCGUAAGACAGAGGUGAAAUCCCCGGGCUCAACCUGGGAACUGCCUUUGUGACUGCGAGGCUAGAGUAUGGCAGAGGGGGGUGGAAUUCCACGUGUAGCAGUGAAAUGCGUAGAGAUGUGGAGGAACACCGAUGGCGAAGGCAGCCCCCUGGGCCAAUACUGACGCUCAUGCACGAAAGCGUGGGGAGCAAACAGGAUUAGAUACCCUGGUAGUCCACGCCCUAAACGAUGUCGACUAGUUGUUGGUGGGGUUAAACCCAUUAGUAACGUAGCUAACGCGUGAAGUCGACCGCCUGGGGAGUACGGCCGCAAGGUUAAA